rnacentral:rRNA from 1 species
UGGGGAAUAUUGCACAAGGGGCGAAAGCCUGAUGCAGCGACGCCUCUUGAGGUAUGACGGCCUUCGGGUUUUAAACCUCUUUCAGGAGGGACGAAGUGCAAGUUACGGUACCUGCAGAAUAAUCACCGGCUAACUAUGUGCCAGCAGCCGCGGUAAUAUGUAGGUUGCGAGCGUUGUCCGGAAUUACUGGGCGUAAAGAGCUGGUAGGCGGUUUGUCACGUCGUCUGUGAAAUCCUAGGGCUUAACCCUGGACGUGCAGGCGAUACGGGCUGACUUGAGUACUACAGGGGAGACUGGAAGUUCUGGUGUGGCGGUGGAAUGCACAGAUAUCAGGAAGAACACCAAUGGCGAAGGCAGGUCUCUGGGUAGUAACUGACGCUGAGGAGCGAAAGCAUGGGUAGCGAACAGG